rnacentral:lncRNA from 1 species
AGAAAGGUAAGUUAUUAAAAACAAAUUUUGUCAAUAAGUUAUUUGCAUAUUUAAUGAUUUCAACUUGCGCAAGUAAUCCAUAUUAGAAAGGUAAGUUAUUAAAAACAAACAACCUAAUUAGUAGGGGUGGACACUUUACCCGAUAUCCAAAGUGGCACCCGAACCCGAUCCGAAAAACCCGAACUGAAAUCCGAACCGAAUUAGAAAAAUACCCGAACGGGUAUUGAAUAAGGAGAGAUUGGAUACCCGAACCCGAACGGAUAAUACCCGAACCCGAAUGGAUAUCCGAAGAUAACCG